UAAAGAAAGCGUAAUAGCUCACUGGUCGAGUCGGCCUGCGCGGAAGAUGUAACGGGGCUAAACCAUGCACCGAAGCUGCGGCAGCGACACUGUGUGUUGUUGGGUAGGGGAGCGUUCUGUAAGCCUGUGAAGGUGUGUCGUGAGGCAUGCUGGAGGUAUCAGAAGUGCGAAUGCUGACAUAAGUAACGAUAAAGCGGGUGAAAAGCCCGCUCGCCGGAAGACCAAGGGUUCCUGUCCAACGUUAAUCGGGGCAGGGUGAGUCGACCCCUAAGG
rnacentral:rRNA from 1 species